UACGGGGGGGGCAAGCGUUGUUCGGAAUUACUGGGCGUAAAGGGCGCGUAGGCGGCCUUCUAAGUCAGACGUGAAAUCCCUCGGCUUAACCGGGGAACUGCGUCUGAUACUGGAGGGCUUGAAUUCGGGAGAGGGAUGUGGAAUUCCAGGUGUAGCGGUGAAAUGCGUAGAUAUCUGGAGGAACACCGGUGGCGAAGGCGGCAUCCUGGACCGAGAUUGACGCUGAGGCGCGAAAGCUAGGGGAGCAAACGGG
rnacentral:rRNA from 1 species